UUACAUAGUGUGAGAACAGACGUAGAAUGAUGAAUGUGAUUGGCUCUCAGUCCAAUGGGGCUUUCUUUGUAAAGUAGAAUGAAGUUAAAAGAACAACAUUAACUGUGUUAAAUUAAAUGUGUUAAAUAUUAGGCUGAAGACGACAACAUGAAGCCCAGUGAACAGGGCAUCUGUGCCAGAGCUCUGUACGACUACCAGGCUGCCGACGACACUGAGAUCACCUUCGACCCUGAUGACAUCAUAACGGGGAUAGAUAUGGUGGACGAGGGUUGGUGGAGAGGACACGCCCCUGGCGGACACUACGGGAUGUUCCCCGCAAACUACGUGGAGCUUCUCUAGGUUUCAUCACUCAGACAGGAGAACAGAUGUUUCUUCACAUCAGCCUGUUUGUCUUUGUCAUGUUGAAGGUUCAACAGGAAAAAUCACAAUAAACACGUCAUUCAUCCA